rnacentral:tRNA from 1 species
UAGCUUAGUUGGCUAAGCACGUGUCUUGCAUACAUGGGUCGUGGGUUCGAAUCCCAC